rnacentral:rRNA from 1 species
UACGUAGGGCGCAAGCGUUGUCCGGAAUUAUUGGGCGUAAAGAGCUCGUAGGCGGCCUGUUGCGUCCGCUGUGAAAUCCCGGGGCUCAACCCCGGGCCUGCAGUGGAUACGGGCUGGCUAGAGGCAGGCAGGGGAGAACGGAAUUCCUGGUGUAGCGGUGAAAUGCGUAGAUAUCGGGAGGAACACCUGUGGCGAAAGCGGCGCACUGGACCAUAACUGACGCUGAUGCGCGAAAGCUAGGGGAGCAAACAGG